rnacentral:lncRNA from 1 species
CUCCCCUUUGCACCCUCAGUGGGCUCUUGACUCCCCCCUCCUCCCGUGUUUCAGGUGUGGCUCCUCCUCUUUCUUCUUCGCGUCAUUGACAUCCUGCUUUCUCUGCACCUCUGCCUGAACUGCGUCCUGAACUUGGCCGUCAUUACAGAGUGGUGACCAGGAGGGAGCAAGACUCUCUGGUCCACAUCUUGUUUAGGGAGACCAGUUUUGCUCCUAUGUGGGGCAAUGGGCUAUGCACAGACAGCCUGGUCUCCAGUCGAGCUGAGAUCUUGAAUUCCGGACAGUAGGCAUUUGACCAUGUCUCCUAGACCCCUGGCUCCUGUCGAAGUUACCGCUCCCACAGCCCCCACAGGAGAGGCAAGUGGCUUUUAGUCACAUAGACAAUGUCCCAAGUUUCUGACCUUCUGGAUAGACUCCUCCCUACAGUUACCUAGCAACAGCAAGAUAACACAGCCCACUAUAAGAGGGACUGUUUGGCCCCUCCUAGCUCUCUAAGCUUUUACCUCUCCCUCUUAAGCUCUCUUUAAUCUUUCUUACUCUGUAGCUCAUUCUCUCUUUCCCUUCCCUUGCUCACUCCACGUGGCCAUGACCAGUCUCUCUCUCCUUUACCUUCUCUCUUUCCCCUGCCUUUCUAC